GGGCCCGUAGCUCAGCGGUUAGAGCAGCGGACUCAUAAUCCGUUGGUCCUAGGUUCAAAUCCUAGCGGGCCCACUA
rnacentral:tRNA from 2 species